UUNACAAGCUGAGGGCUAAAAGCCGUGAAAUCGUCAGGGGAAAGGAUGCCGAAGAAUGAGCAUCAGUUUUGACAAGACACAGUACAAGAAAUCAUACAAUAUGAUCUUUUUGUAUAAUGUGUUGCAUUUGUAACAAUAAAUAAAUCUUCAAGCAACUGA